rnacentral:rRNA from 1 species
ACGCACGCUGGCGGCGUGCUUAACACAUGCAAGUCGAACGAGAGCGUCGAGAAAGCUUGCUUUUUCUACAAUCUAGUGGCAAACGGGUGAGUAACGCGUAAACAACCUGCCCUACGGAUGGGGACAACAGCUGGAAACGGCUGCUAAUACCGAAUACGUUCCGAAAGUCGCAUGACUAUCGGAAGAAAGGAUGGCCUCUAUUUAUAAGCUAUCGCCGGAGGAGGGGUUUGCGUCUGAUUAGCUAGUUGGAGGGGUAACGGCCCACCAAGGCGACGAUCAGUAGCCGGUCUGAGAGGAUGAACGGCCACAUUGGAACUGAGACACGGUCCAGACUCCUACGGGAGGCAGCAGUGGGGAAUCUUCCGCAAUGGGCGAAAGCCUGACGGAGCAACGCCGCGUGAGUGAAGACGGCCUUCGGGUUGUAAAGCUCUGUUAUACGGGACGAAUAAUCUUGUGGUUAAUACCCAUGAGAAGUGACGGUACCGUAAGAGAAAGCCACGGCUAACUACGUG